GGGGUACACAACUGUGGUGGGAUUGGGGAUGCAGAACUGAACUAUGUGUGUGGGAUACAGGACUGAGGUGUGUGUAGGAUACAGGACUGAGGUGUGUGUGGGGGACAGGACUGAGGUGUGUGUGUGGGAUACAGGACUGAGGUGUGUGUGUGGGACACAGGACUGAGGUGUGUGUGUGGGAUACAGGACUGAGGUGUGUGUGUGGGAUACAUGACUGAGGUGUGUGUGGGGAACACAGGACUGAGGUGUGUGUGGGGAACACAGGACUGAUGUGGGGUUGGGUAUGCAGAACUGAGGUGUGUGUGUGAU
rnacentral:lncRNA from 1 species